rnacentral:rRNA from 1 species
AGGGAAGGAGGGAGGCAGGCCUAACACAUGCAAGUCGAGCGGAUGAAGGGAGCUUGCUCCUGGAUUCAGCGGCGGACGGGUGAGUAAUGCCUAGGAAUCUGCCUGGUAGUGGGGGAUAACGUCCGGAAACGGGCGCUAAUACCGCAUACGUCCUGAGGGAGAAAGUGGGGGAUCUUCGGACCUCACGCUAUCAGAUGAGCCUAGGUCGGAUUAGCUAGUUGGUGGGGUAAAGGCCUACCAAGGCGACGAUCCGUAACUGGUCUGAGAGGAUGAUCAGUCACAAUGGAACUGAGACACGGUCCAGACUCCUACGGGAGGCAGCAGUGGGGAAUAUUGGACAAUGGGAGAAAGCCUGAUCAAGCCAUGCCGCGUGUGUGAAGAAGGACUUCGGAUUGUAAAGCACUUUAAGUUGGGAGGAAGGGCAGUAAGUUAAUACCUUGCUGUUUUGACGUUACCAACAGAAUAAGCACCGGCUAACUUCGUG